GUGAGGAAUUUUCCGCAAUGGGCGAAAGCCUGACGGAGCAAUGCCGCGUGAAGGAUGAAGGCCUAUGGGUUGUAAACUUCUUUUCUUAGAGAAGAAUAUUGACGGUAUCUGAGGAAUAAGCAUCGGCUAACUCUGUGCCAGCAGCCGCGGUAAGACAGAGGAUGCAAGCGUUAUCCGGAAUGAUUGGGCGUAAAGCGUCUGUAGGUGGCUUCAAAAGUCUCCUGUCAAAGAUCAGGGCUUAACCGUGGGCCGGCAGUAGAAACUCUGAGGCUAGAGUUUGGUAGAGGCAGAGGGAAUUCCCGGUGGAGCGGUGAAAUGCGUAGAGAUCGGGAGGAACACCAAAGGCGAAAGCACUCUGCUGGGCCACAACUGACACUGAGAGACGAAAGCGAGGGGAGCAAAAGGGAUUAGAAACCCCAGUAGUCC
rnacentral:rRNA from 1 species